GUCUACGGCCAUGCUACCUUGAACAAGCCUGAUCCCGUCUGAUCUCGGAAGCUACUAAGCAAGGUUGGGCCUGGUUAGUACUUGGAUGAGAGACCACCUAGGAAGACCAGGUGUUGUAGGUG
rnacentral:rRNA from 1 species